rnacentral:misc_RNA from 1 species
GAUGAAGAACGUAGCGAAAUGCGAUAAGUAAUGUGAAUUGCAGAAUUCAGUGAAUCAUCGAAUCUUUGAACGCACAUUGCGCCCGCCAGUAUUCUGGCGGGCAUGCCUGUUCGAGCGUCAUUUCAACCAUCAAGCCCCCGGCUCGUGUUGGGGACCUGCGGCUGCCGCAGGCCCUGAAAUGCAGUGGCGGGCUCGCUGUCACUCCGAGCGUAGUAGUUACAUCUCGCUCUGGGCGUGCUGCGGGUUCCGGCCGUUAAAAGCCUUAUUUACCCAAGGUUGACCUCGGAUCAGGUAGGAAGACCCGCUGAACUUAAGCAUAUCAAUAAGCGGAGGA